GAUCUAUGAUGAUACUAUCCCAAACCUGAACUUUUGUUGAAAAAAAAUAUGGACCUGGCUUCUGAGAU